AUGACAAAAAUGAACAUAUGCUACUACCUCCUCCCCGAGGAAGAUGACCCGGUCAGAAUUGUUCGGAACGAAAACUAUAUUGGGAAAGUGAUGUUUCUGACCGCUGUUGCUCGACCUAGAUAUGACGCUGAAGGCAAUAUGACAUUCUCGGGUAAAAUUGGUGUCUGGCCCUUUGUGCAAGAAAUUCCUGCUGCUAGAAGAAGUGAGUAUAGAGCAAGAUGGACCAUUGAAAUCAAGUCCUUCAACAUGAACCGACGGGUAAUGAGGAGGUAUAUGAUAGAAAAAAGUGGUUCCUAG
rnacentral:rRNA from 1 species